rfam:Desulfotomaculum aeronauticum DSM 10349 genome assembly, contig: EJ44DRAFT_scaffold00029.29
CAACGAUAAAGGCAAAUCUGGCGAAAGCCAGAGACGCAAAGCUAUAGGGCCUUCCUUAGACAUAAGAUGGCAGCCAGUUACCGAA